GUCGAGCGGACGUUUUUGAAGCUUGCUUCAAAAACGUUAGCGGCGGACGGGUGAGUAACACGUGGGCAACCUACCUUAUCGACUGGGAUAACUCCGGGAAACCGGGGCUAAUACCGGAUAACAUCUAGCACCUCCUGGUGCCGGAUUAAAAGAGGGCUUCUUGCUCUCACGAUGAGAUGGGCCCGCGGCGCAUUAGCUAGUUGGAGAGGUAACGGCUCCCCAAGGCGACGAUGCGUAGCCGACCUGAGAGGGUGAUCGGCCACACUGGGACUGAGACACGGCCCAGACUCCUACGGGAGGCAGCAGUAGGGAAUCUUCCGCAAUGGACGAAAGUCUGACGGAGCAACGCCGCGUGAGUGAUGAAGGGUUUCGGCUCGUAAAGCUCUGUUAUGAGGGAAGAACACGUACCGUUCGAAUAGGGCGGUACCUUGACGGUACCUCAUCAGAAAGCCACGGCUAACUACGUGCCAGCAGCCGCGGUAAUACGUAGGUGGCAAGCGUUGUCCGGAAUUAUUGGGCGUAAAGCGCGCGCAGGCGGCCUUUUAAGUCUGAUGUGAAAUCUUGCGGCUCAACCGCAAGCGGCCAUUGGAAACUGGGAGGCUUGAGUACAGAAGAGGAGAGUGGAAUUCCACGUGUAGCGGUGAAAUGCGUAGAUAUGUGGAGGAACACCAGUGGCGAAGGCGACUCUCUGGUCUGUAACUGACGCUGAGGCGCGAAAGCGUGGGGAGCAAAC
rnacentral:rRNA from 1 species